GCUGGGUGUGGUGGAGCACACCAGUAAUCCCAGUGGCUUGGGAGGCUGAGGCAGGAGGAUGGAGAGUUCAAAGCCAGCCUCAG
rnacentral:sRNA from 1 species